rnacentral:rRNA from 1 species
AGCGCAGGCGGUUUCUUAAGUCUGAUGUGAAAGCCCCCCGGCUUAACCGGGGAGGGUCAUUGGAAACUGAGGAACUUGAGUGCAGAAGAGGAGAGUGGAAUUCCAUGUGUAGCGGUGAAAUGCGUAGAUAUAUGGAGGAACACCAGUGGCGAAGGCGACUCUCUGGUCUGUAACUGACGCUGAGGCUCGAAAGCGUGGGGAGCAAACA